AUGAACCGACCAAAAGGGAACUCAGCAGACAGGAGGCAAUACUGGAUGUUGUCAGCCAGCAAGCGAGAUUGUUUUGAGGGCUCUCGCCUUGUGGUGUUCCGGGGGACCAGGGGAGGUCGUUCCGGAGCGAGCGGGCGAGAGGAGGAGCCCCAGAGGUCCCCACCUACCCAGCUGCCAACGGUUCCAGAGGGUCGUAUCCUGGCCGUGGCCACUCUGGGGGAUCAGGCACAUCCCUCACCGAGUCCUGAGGUGCCUCCCACACCCGUCGGUCUCCCCGGGAAGCGAGGGAGACGGUUAUCGUGGGAGUCUGCCUCGGAAUCGUCGGAGUCAGCCCUGCCAGAGACCGAACUCCCCCAACCCGCCUCUGACCCAGCUGUGGUCUCUGCACCGCGCCCAAGGAGGAAGAGGAGGAAGAGGGGGCCUGCCGGUCCUGUGACCCCGUUUCCUCCCGUGCCAGCAGCGGAGAGCGCUGGCGUGCCCGUGCCAGCAGCGGAGAACACUGGCGUGCCCGUACCAGCAGCGGUGAGCUUGCCCGAGCCAGCAGCAGUGAGCGUGUCCGAGUCAGCAGCGGUGAGCGCUAGCGUGCCCGAGCCGGGAAAGAAAGCUGUAUGCAAGUCGGCAGUCGUGAGAGCGGAGGAGAGAGCCGCGGCCGACUCUGCAGCAAAGACUCUUGUACAGUCGGUUUCAUCUCAUAAGGAGAUGCCAAUUGUCCUAGCUGCUAAAGCAUUUUCUGAUUAUUUGUCCCGUCUUGUCCAAAUUUUAGAAAUCCCCGUCAGUCCUGUCUUGUCCCCUGACCCUGUCCCCAGAAGUCCCAAAUGUCCAGCCGUUGUCUCCCCGUGUCCUGUUGAUGUGGCCCCGUGUCCCGUUAAUGUCCCCCCGUGUCCAGUAGAUGUUGUCCCCCCGUGUCCAGUAGAUGUUGUCCCCCCGUGUCCAGUAGAUGUUGUCCCCCCGUGUCCAGUAGAUGUCCCCCCGUGUCCAGUAGAUGUUGUUCCCCCGUGUCCAGCUGUCGUCUCCCCGCGUCCUGUAAGUCUUGCCCCGCGUCCCGUAAGUGUUGCCCCGCGUCCCUUGUCUGCUCCUGUCAUGUCCCCUGUCAGUUGUCCUGAGACCCCUCCCCGCCCCUCACCACCCAGACCUGCCCGUACCCCCCGUCGUCAGCCUUCGUCCUGUCCUCCUAAGAUUCCUACCCCACCCCACCGCCCUGGUCUGUCCCCCAUGAACUUUGUGGUCCCGCCCCCUCCCCUUCCCUGUUUGUUUUUUUUGUUAUGUCACCCUAACCCUGCCGUUGUGUACUCGUGUUUGCCUUUGUUGUUAUUUGUCAUGUCUUGUUGGUUUGUGUCUGUGUCCCAGUCUGUCAUGUCCCGUGUUUGA
rnacentral:lncRNA from 1 species